UUCCAGACUCCUACGGGAGGCAGCAGUAGGGAAUAUUGCUCAAUGGGGGGAACCCUGAAGCAGCAACGCCGCGUGGAGGAUGAAGGUUUUCGGAUUGUAAACUCCUUUUGUUAGAGAAGAUAAUGACGGUAUCUAACGAAUAAGCACCGGCUAACUCCGUGCCAGCAGCCGCGGUAAUACGGAGGGGGCAAGCGUUAUCCGGAUUUAUUGGGUUUAAAGGGUGCGUAGGCGGAGUGUUAGGUCAGGGGUAAAAGCGCGGGGCCCAACCCCGGCGAGCCGUUGAAACUGGCUGUCUUGAGAUGUCGAGAGGUAUGCGGAAUGCGCAGUGUAGCGGUGAAAUGCUUAGAUAUUGCGCAGAACUCCGAUUGCGAAGGCAGCAUACCGGCGGCGAUCUGACGCUGAGGCACGAAAGCGUGGGGAUCGAACAGGAUUAGAUACCCCUGUAAU
rnacentral:rRNA from 1 species